GCGGCGCGGCGUGAGGCGGUGGCUGUGGGGAGAGGGAGCCCCGAGGGGAGCCCCCCCGGCCGGGCUCCUCGCUGCCGGCCCGAGUGGAGCCCAGGCAGAGCGGCGGGCGAUGCUCUGCGGGCGCCCCGCGGCCUGAGGAACAGCAGCCCCUGGACUGCCGGCGGCGACGUUACCGCCUGCGGCCCGCUGAGCCCCAGCUCUCAGCGGCCGCGUCGUUCCUUGCUGGCCGUGCGGGACGCGGCGGGCCUUGGGGGCGCCUUGGGGGCCCUCUCCUGCCGCGUGCCCUGGCAAGCGUGGCGACGAAGGGCGACACCACGUUUGUUGCCACUGCCGGUGUGACCGCUGGCGAAGGGGCAGGUGAGGUGCAGAAAUACGGCCCAGGAGCAUGACCAGAAGUGGCGGUCGGCUGCUCUUAGGGAAAUGGUGCGGCGCAGUCACAGCUCGGUUGCAGGGUUGUAAUGAGCAGAUGAUUGUGGCAACAGCUUUUGGUGAGGGCAGCCUGGAGGCUGAACACCUCCUUUGCUAUCUUCUCUGAGAGAAACAGUGGAAGCCAGAAGUCUGUGGUGAAGUGGGAGAGCUACAGAGGGGUGUCCAGUCCAGGCAUUGUGACCUGGGGCAGAUCUGGAGACAAUAUGUUACUCAGUGUUAUUCUUAAGUGUGCAGUGUUUUCUUCCACAGCUGGCUGGAUCCUACAGCAGACUUCAGUGCUGUGCGGAGGUACAUGAGCCAGCACAGGACUGAAAUAGUAUAGUUACACUUACGAAGAGCUUCUGGUAGUUAAUCUAACCUCUUAGGAAUUUGGGUCAGCUGGAGGUGUUUUAAGAGAAGUGGGGCAGCACAUCUAAGAGUUCUGGACCACGAUUGGGUUUACAAGAGAAGCAGAGAAAAUAGUCAACCUCUGCUGGUUUUUGCUUCCUCAGCAGGGAACAACACUGACUAGAAAACAGCCUAGCAGAACAAGGAAACUGGGGAGAUGGGCAUUUCUUUAGGCAGCAGGGGCAUGCCCGAUGCUCAUAGUAAGGGAGAGAACUUGGUCAUCUCCCUUGCUGAGUGCAAGGAGGCAGCUGGUAAAAGGUGGAAGGAUUGGAGAAGUGGUGCAGCCUUGCUUACCUCUGCAGCACAGGGCCUCUGAUCCUCUACCCAAUUAGAAAGGGGCAUAGCUGACCCCCUUUUCCUUCAUGGAAACAGAUCAGAUCUCCUGUACUUGGAGAGAAAUGGGAAGCAGGGCCCCUGCGGUUUCAGCUCCACUGAGCUGAAAAAGGAAGCCAGUGAUGUGGAAAUUAGGCUAAACCACAUAAGUAGGCAGCUUUCUGCACGUAACUAAUCUGCUAAGGCACAAGCCUGGCUGCUGUGUAUAGCAACGCUCUAGUAAAUACCAAUCCAGUGGGUAACUAAGGGACAAACCCAGGCUCCUCUGCUUUGUUUGUGGGCCAGGGCAGGAGAGAAGAGAUGGAAAGUGAGGUGGAAAUAGGAUCUGGAGGGGGAACAUUAAGUCUUCUGCUUGGGAAUAGAGGGAGCAGGUCAUCUGAGCCAAGGGCUGCACUUCAUGUCCUGAUAUGAGACUAAGGGGGAGCAGCAGAUUAGAAUCUGGACUCAGAUGUCAACUUUAACACUUUGACUGCAGUGUCUAAUUUACCAUAUAGAUGUGACCACGCUCUCUUAGUAAUCCAUUGCUGUUCUCUGGAGAUAUAUACAGAUCCCUCUUUCUUUGUCUUGCACAGGGGUGCACAUGGGCUUGAUACUGUACCUGCAAGCUAAAUCACGACCAGACUACAGGCCUGGUAACACGUCUGCAUCAGGAUAUGAACAGCUUCUAUCUGCAUCCAGCAGUGCAGAACUGGUACAGGUGGUGGUUUUCAAGGAGGGAGCUACCAAACUUGGAGGGCACAUCAACUGGUCCAAGUGAGGGAUGGGAUCCUUUGUAUUGCAAGGCUGCAAAUGGAAGAGGCUGAAUGUCAGAGUGCUGGACAGGGGGAUAACCAAGUAAAUACCAGCCACUGAUCAGCACAGGUGGAGUGCAAAAAGCCACUGAUCAGCAUAGGCUGAGCACAAAAUUGCACUCUGUCUCACCUCACAGCUACCUCCAGGCACUAAUUAACCCAUGCUUUGUUAAACGUGCUAUUUUUAGAGAGGUGCUUGGAGACGAGCCUCUGGGACGUGUCCCACUUCAGUCGACAGCAGCAGCGCUGAAGAAUUACUUACAGCAUCAGGCUGCUUCUGAAGUCCUAGUGCUGGUAUCUCCCUUGUCUGCUGCCUAAAGCAAGAAUGCUUUGAGGAGACAAAUCCCCUGCCUUGCUUUGUGCCCAGAUACAUUGGGGAAAACGCACAGGAGCUAAUGGUUCAAGGCUGUGGCUCACUAAACCUAAUCGGGCUAUGCAGAGGGGGAUUCAUCAGGAGUACUUUGCCAAGAGCUAGGCACUACUGCCUUAUCAUGUGUAGCUACCCAGCAGGUAUGAGGAAGGUAGUUUAUCAUUUACUGCCUGGGGCACAAGAAAGAACUCUUGUUGACUCUACACUGAAGCCAUAAAUAGCAAACACAUAAAUGGAGAAAAAAGGUGGACAAACAUCAGCUAGAGUGAGACUAGGUACAGGGAGAAAAGCAAAUGGGAGCAGCAUACUUGGCUUUCAGCAACCUGAAACAUAACAGAGGUGACAAAGUAUAACAAGGAUGGACUCUAAAAAAAAGGUUGGAUUCCCAGAUAGUGCAGAGGAGAAAGGGAGGCCAUAGCAUGUUUUUAUAUAUACACAUUUUACUUUCCCCUUUUUAAUCUAACAGGGUUAUAUAUUUAGUGCAGCUGAAAAAAGGGGCUUACACAAUUCUCAUAGAGCUACCCUUCCUCAACAGGAAAGAAGGGGGAAUUAUUUUAGAUUUGCUCUACCAUAGCAGGGGGUGUCAGUCAGUUGUCACCCUAGCCAGCCAUCUCCAGCCCAGACAUGGCACACAACCUGCAUGGGGUAGCAUGAGGGCUUUGCUCACUGCCAUCCCCUGUGCUUUGAGUAAAAACCUGGGUCACAGUUGGAUCCCUCUGAUUUAGCCAAGUGGCUAAGCACAGGAGGCAAGCACAGCUUUUCUCCAGUGAUACCCAUAGAUUCAGCAGGUGUAAUAGUGUGUAAUAGUUUGUCCCACAGUGAUUUUUGGUCUGAGCAGGAAUUAUUCUAGCGGCGAUUUGUCAUUGACUUAUUAUUAAUUGAAGCAGAUGACCAGCUUGACUAGAGCAGCUGGCACUGUCUUCCUCUCUUUCUUUGCUCCAGGCUGAAUGCUGCUACAGCUGCAUCCCCUCCCACCAAUAUAGGCCAAAGAGUGUGAUUCUGAUGUGCGCUCUGCCUCAUGCUCAGCUCAUUUGUGGGAACACCAAGAGAGGGAAGGUCCUUGGCUUUUUCAGUCUGAAUGUGAGGAAGAAUUCUCAGGGCAGCUUCUCUCCCAAAGUCAUCCAGAAGAUGACUUUGUAUAGAUGGUCCAGAAGAAGAGAGAAGCUGAAAACCAGAAGUGCUUUUACUGGGGAAGAAUUUGCCAGAGGCUCUCUCUCAAGGCUCAGGAAUCCCUUCAAAAAGUAAAGCCUAGUCCCUACCUGAAAAGCCAGAGCACAUGACAGACUGUGUACAUGGAGGUCUGGAGCAGGUGGAUGCUUCUGCUGACCAGAGAAGGAAAUGAGGUUAAAACUGCACAUCCGGGAGAUGAGAGCCAGGUGCAUGAGGAUGAAGCUUCUGCAACAGAAAUAGCCAUGGAAGACUGUACACACAUACACACUGCCUCUGUGGCAGCCUGCAGUGUUGCAGUCAGAACCGCAGUCCCAGAGAGCGACAUAGGCAGAAGAGAGGUAAGAACAAAAGGUGUUGUGGAAGCACGGGGACAGAGAUAUGCUUCUUAUGUACACAGGGAAAGGGCCAGUGAAGAGAGGCUGCAGUUUGAACCAAGUGAAAGGAGAGAGGGAUCAGUCAUCUGGAGCGUGACAAGAAAGAGAUGAUACGUGGCUGAUCAUGGCAGGGCCUGUGAUGUUGGAAACAUAGAGGGAGAAGACCUCUAACCCCAGGGAAUGGACAGACAGCCUUUGGUUUCAGAUAAAGCAGUAAACACUUCCGUACAGAGAAGCCCCAGCUUAUCUCUGGGGCAGGGAAACUCUUUGUCCUCAAAGGAAGCAGAGAUCAUGUCACCUUGAGAGUGCCAAAUCCAACCCUCUGCCAUCUGAUCUGAAUGCAGACACGGCUGAAGGAUGCUGCUCUGCCAAGGCAGCCUGGUAAAAUCUCCCCACCUCAUCCCAGGACAGACCCUGCUCUCUCUUAGAUUCACUGGUUCCUUCCAUCCCGAGAUGCACGUGCAGACUUGCAUAAGGAGCUGCAGCUAGGGAUGCAAUAUGCAAUUUGUAUUGCUGCAAUCUAAACAUAGACUAGUUUUGGCAGCAAACGCAUGUACUUACGCAAGUGUCUGUCAGAUCUUACCAGUUACCCUCUCAAGACUGAUAACUGGUCCUGGAGAUUGUUUAAGAAAAUUGCUUCAAGUAUAUUCUACCCUAUCUCAUCUCAAUCCAAUCAUGGUUUGGAAUCUUGGCCAUGCGAACAGAUCCAGGGAAGAACUAUGUUUACAUUUAAAAGGACUUUUAAUGCCAUACUGUAAUCUCAAAUUAUUCAGAUUUAUCUGCAUUAUCAUGAACAGGACUGGCUGCCUAAACUCAAAAGAGGGACUACAGAAUGGGAGAUUUAGAGAUCUGGAAAGUUUCUGGUGAUUGAUUGAAGAUUGUGACUUUUUUUUUGAAGGGAUAGUGACUUUUGUUAGGGUAAAACAAAAGAUACAAAAAAGGGACCUGAAUAUGUAUAGCCCACUAAAUAGCACAGACUGGAGGAGCUGGAGCUUCUGUCCAUGUUGUACAACACAAGAUAAGAAGAAAGAAGAUUUUUCUUAUGACACAUUGGCUGUGGAUUUUCUGAUCACAGGAAAAGCAACCUGACUUCAGCAAGAUUCAGGAAGGGACUGGACAUCUGCAUGAAAAACAGUCAGUGCUGUAACACUUCAUUUGUGGGGAAGAUUAAACCAUUUGCCUCACAACUUCUGUCUUAAAUCCUAGGACUCGGUGUGCACAGAUUACUCAAUGUCUAUCUGCUGCCCCAUUUUGACAGCUUCCUCUAACACAGUUAGUGCUGGCCCCUCCUAGAUAGGAAACUGGCAUAGGUGGCCCCGGGCUGGAUCCAAACUAGAUUUUUUUUUGAGAGAGAGAACAAAGAGCAGCUCCUCUU